GACCACCAAACCUAACAUACAUUAAUUUCUCUCCAAAAAAAUAUAUAGCAUUAAGUAUAUCAACAUAUAAUAAUAAACAAAAAAAAUAUAUGGCAAUUUCCUUCUAUUCCAAGUAAGGGGUCAUUCAGAAUCAUGCCAACAAACAAGCAUUUUGAUACACUUCCGCAGAAUAUAGAAUCUGCCUCUAUGCUCCUUCACAACCCCACUGCAUUUCCGCCCCAACGAUGAUCCAGUGCCUCUCUGCAUUUUUUGCGGCUUAUCAUCUUGCAUUAUGAACUCUGAAAUG
rnacentral:lncRNA from 1 species